UGAUCCACGUGCAGGCAAACAUCCCGCCCACAGCGCUCAGUGUGAAGUAGAGAGUGAGUCCAUUGAAGCGCUGAUGCGGACGCAAAACUUUGCCGUUGCAUGUCACAUAUAGUUCUACUCACUUUUACGGGUGUUGUGCGUCUAUGGAAAUAGAGAAUGAAUGGAAUUGACUGCUUAUCAAAGAGAAGAUCGAUUUGUGCCAUGUCAAAACUGGUGUGCCACUGACAAACAUCUUCCCAGUGAAGAACUACCAUUAUGAGAUUGAAACCGAGGAUGACAUUGAUGUUCUGAUACUAAGGCACUUCAACAGAUUGUUCCGAUCGCUGAUGAUAGAUUGGAUGACAGUGGAAUGUACUGAAAAAAGUAAAAUCAAGAAAAAAUGUGAAUAAUGUAGUAACUGACCAAAUUCUAUUUAAUCUUGAAUUUAUUUGUCUUUCUCAGCAUGCAUGUAUUCAGCCUUAUAGUGAGGGUAUUAGGGAAUCUGGAGCAAUAUGUACAACCAGAAUAACAGAAAGUGUAAUAGCCAACUUUAUUAAAAGUCAUAUUGAAAUUGAUUCUCUUCUUUUUUGCAUUUCACCUUUGCUGUAGCUAUUUUCCCAUUCUAGUAUUCUAAUAAACCUGGCUUCCUUCACUAUGUAUAUUGUUAGUUCUGUUACAAAUUGCUUAUAUUCCUCUGAUGUAAGUAGGGCUGGACGAUACGGCCAAAAUUGAUAUCACAAUAUAUUUCUUAAUUUCGGUCGAUAAGAUAUAAUUCCGAUAUCGAUAUGAACACUAUUAAAAAUAGCCAAGAAUGCCCACAACAGAUGUCUGUACCUACAAACUUAUGAAAAAUGAAUUUGCCAAGUCUAUGAACUCCUCCUAUAAAACUAUAUAUAGGGGGGAAAAACAGCACAAAAAAAUUAAUGUUCACCUUUUAUUUGUAUUUAGCCUUCAUACAAACAAGAAAUGUGAAAUCACUGUCAAAUAAACAUCUCAGACUCACCUUAUUAAUAUUAAUAUCUUUAACUUCAAACUAUAGGCUAACAUACACUAUCAGUCAAAGGUUUUUGAACAGUAAGAUUUUAGUUUUUAAAGAAUUCUCUUCUGCUCACCAAGCCUGCAUUUAUUUGAUCCAAAAUACAGCAAAAACAGUAACAUUUUGAAAUAUUUACCAUUUAAAAUAACUGUUUUCUAUUUGAAAAUAUUUUAAAAUGCAAGUUAUUCCUGUGAUUUCAAAGCUGAAUUUUUAGCAUCAUUUCUCCAGUCACAUGAUCCUUCAGAAAUCAUUCUAAUAUUCUGAUUUGCUGCUCAAAAAACAUUUAUUAUUAUGUUGAAAACAGCGGAGUAGAAUCUGAUUCUCUGCCAGUAGGAGGUGCUUUGAGAGCCAGAACUAGCGGUUUCCCCAGUAACGGCUGUAAUCUAAGCAGCUCCGCUCUGAACCCUACUUUAUCCGAUAAAAUGAAAAUGCCAUCAAAACUAUUCUGAUGACAGUAUGUUCCCUUCAGAGAUACAUUCAUAUUAGCACUGCACUUUUCAAAAAGCGGGUGAUUUAUGUAUAUUCACCGAAGUCAAACGCCACAAAUAAAUCAAUGUAUGGGAAACACUGGUAAUGUAUAUCGAAAUAUCGGAAAUGUGUUUAAAAAUCAUAUCACCGUUAUUGAAAAAAAUUAUAUCGCGAUACAUAUUGAUAUUGAAUUAUUGUCCAGCCCUAGAUGUAAGAUGCAUUGGAUACAAGUGCUUGCUAAAUGUAUAGAUGUAAAAUGCAAUUUAUUGAUGAGGUUCAGUGUCAGAAAAAUAGGCUCUCACAUGGGAAAAAAAGUAUAAAAACUGUUAAAAUGCAAGGAAACUUAUGUCUUCUCUUGUGAUUUUCUGUAUUCUUCUAUUUAUUAACAGCUAAAUCACUGUGGCACCUACAAUUUAGGGAUAUACCGAUCAUGAUUUUUUAUG